GAGAAUGGACAUGGGCGAGAGCCUGAUCCAGCCCUGCCGCGUGCAGGAAGACUGCCCUAUGGGUUGUAAACUGCUUUUAUACAGGAAGAAACACUCCCUCGUGAGGGAGCUUGACGGUACUGUAAGAAUAAGGAUCGGCUAACUCCGUGCCAGCAGCCGCGGUAAUACGGAGGAUCCAAGCGUUAUCCGGAAUCAUUGGGUUUAAAGGGUCCGUAGGUGGAUAAUUAAGUCAGAGGUGAAAUCCUGCAGCUCAACUGUAGAAUUGCCUUUGAUACUGGUUGUCUUGAGUUAUUAUGAAGUAGUUAGAAUAUGUAGUGUAGCGGUGAAAUGCAUAGAUAUUACAUAGAAUACCAAUUGCGAAGGCAGAUUACUAAUAAUAUACUGACACUGAUGGACGAAAGCGUGGGGAGCGAACAGGAUUAGAUACCCUGGUAGUCCACGCCGUAAACGAUGGAUACUAGCUGUUCGGAUUUAUCUGAGUGGCUAAACGAAAGUGAUAAGUAUCCCCACCUGGGGGAGUACGUUUCGCCAGAAUGAAACUCA
rnacentral:rRNA from 1 species